GAAGGUUUUAUUAUAGCCUUCGGGUUCAGUAAAUUAUAAUUUUACAUGCGAAUUUUAGAUUAAAUAUUUUUUAUAAGUAGUGAAUAAAUUUAAUGAUUAAGGAGGUUUAGAAUUAGAUAUUAAUAAGAGUAUAAACUAAUCUUGUGCCAGCAGUUGCGGUUAGACAUGAUAUACUUCUGAACUUGGCUCGGGUGAUAAUAAUCUUAUUAAUUAGGAAGUGAUAAUUAACUUUAUAAGGUGAAAUUUUAUAGUUGAUUUAGUUUAUUUUUGAAGGAAAAAUUAUUAAAUUUUUGUAUUAAACUAGGAUUAGAUACCCUAUUAUUGAAAGUGUGAAUUAAAAUUCCUGAGGAGUAUUAGAUGUUCUUGAAAUUUAAAAAAUUUGGCGGUGUUUUAGUCUGUUCAGAGGAACCUGUCCUGUAAUUGAUAAUCCACGAUUAAUUGAACUUGUUUUUUAAGUUUGUAUAUCGUCGUUAUUUGAAUAUCUUUAAAGGGUUAAAUAUUCAAUAUUUGGAAUUUUAAACCAAAUCAGAUCAAGGUGCAGUUUACAGACAAGAAGAGAUGGGUUACAAUGAAUAUAUUUAUAUGGUUUGAGAAGUGAAAUUUUUACAAUAAAUAGGAUUUGAAAGUAAAAUUAAUAAUUUAAUUGGUUUGACUUAAGCUCUAAAAUAUGCACAUAUCGCCCGUCGCUCCCACCAUAAGGUGGGAUAAGUCGUAACAUAGUAGGUGUACCGGAAGGUGUGCCUGGAAAGA
rnacentral:ncRNA from 1 species